rnacentral:rRNA from 1 species
UACGUAGGGUGCAAGCGUUAUCCGGAAUUAUUGGGCGUAAAGAGCUCGUAGGCGGUUCCGUAAGUCGGAUGUGAAAAAUCUGGGCUCAACCCAGUGGAGCACCCGAUACUGCGGUGACUCGAGUCCGGUAGGGGAGUGUGGAAUUCCUGGUGUAGCGGUGAAAUGCGCAGAUAUCAGGAGGAACACCGACGGCGAAGGCAGCACUCUGGGCCGGUACUGACGCUGAGGAGCGAAAGCAUGGGGAGCGAACAGG